ACUCAAAUGAAUUGACGGGCACCCGCACAAGCGGUGGAGCAUGCUGUUUAAUUCGAAGAUACGCGAAAAACCUUACCUAGACUUGACAUCCCGGGCAAAGCUAUAGAAAUAUAGUGGAGGCUAUCCCGGUGACAGGUGGUGCAUGGUUGUCGUCAGCUCGUGUCGUGAGAUGUUCGGUUAAGUCCGAUAACGAGCGCAACCCUUGUCGUUAGUUACUAACAUUUAGUUGAGUUCUCUAGCGAAACUGCCGUGGAUAACACGGAGGAAGGUGGGGAUGACGUCAAAUCAUCAUGCCCCUUACGUCUAGGGCUACAGGCGUGCUACAAUGGCUGGUACAAAAAGAUGCAAUAUCGUGAGGAGGAGCAAAUCUUUAAAACCAGUCUCAGUUCGGAUUGGAGUCUGCAACUCGACUCCAUGAAGUUGGAAUCGCUAGUAAUCCUGAAUCAGAAUGUCAGGGUGAAUACGUUCCCGGGUGUUGCACACACCGCCCGU
rnacentral:rRNA from 1 species